GACGAACGCUGGCGGCGUGCUUAACACAUGCAAGUCGAACGGGCCUUGUCCCCUUUUUUUUUGGGGGUGGGGUUAGUGGCGAACGGGUGAGUAACACGUGAGUAACCUGCCCCUCACUUCUGGAUAACCGCUUGAAAGGGUGGCUAAUACGGGGUGUUCUGGCCUGCUCGCAUGGGUGGGUUUGGAAAGAUUCGACCGGUUUGGUUGUUUUGGUGGGGGAUGGGCUCGCGGCCUAUCAGCUGGUUGGUGGGGUGAUGGCCUGCCAAGGCUUUGACGGGUAGCCGGCCUGAGAGGGUGGGCGGUCACACUGGGACUGAGACACGGCCCAGACUCCUACGGGAGGCAGCAGUGGGGAAUAUUGCACAAUGGGCGCAAGCCUGAUGCAGCGACGCCGCGUGAGGGAUGGAGGCCUUCGGGUUGUGAACCUCUUUCGCCAGUGAAGAAGGUCCUGCUCUUUGUGGUGGGGUUGACGGUAGCUGGGUUAAUGAAGCGCCGGCUAACUACGUG
rnacentral:rRNA from 1 species